GUCCCAAGCGUUGUUCGGAUUCACUGGGCGUAAAGGGUGCGUAGGUGGCGGGGUAAGUCUGAUGUGAAAUCUCCGAGCUUAACUCGGAAACUGCAUCGGAUACUGACUUGCUCGAGGGUUGGAGGGGGGACUGGAAUACUUGGUGUAGCAGUGAAAUGCGUAGAUAUCAAGUGGAACACCAGUGGCGAAGGCGAGUCCCUGGACAACUCCUGACACUGAGGCACGAAAGCUAGGGGAGCAAACAGG
rnacentral:rRNA from 1 species